rnacentral:rRNA from 1 species
GCUGGCGGCAGGCUUAACACAUGCAAGUCGAACGAUGAAACUCUAGCUUGCUAGAGAUGAUUAGUGGCGGACGGGUGAGUAACAUUUAGGAAUCUGCCUAGUAGUGGGGGAUAGCUCGGGGAAACUCGAAUUAAUACCGCAUACGACCUACGGGUGAAAGGGGGCGCAAGCUCUUGCUAUUAGAUGAGCCUAAAUCAGAUUAGCUAGUUGGUGGGGUAAAGGCCCACCAAGGCGACGAUCUGUAACUGGUCUGAGAGGAUGAUCAGUCACACCGGAACUGAGACACGGUCCGGACUCCUACGGGAGGCAGCAGUGGGGAAUAUUGGACAAUGGGGGCAACCCUGAUCCAGCCAUGCCGCGUGUGUGAAGAAGGCCUUUUGGUUGUAAAGCACUUUAAGCAGGGAGGAGAGGCUAAUGGUUAAUACCCAUUAGAUUAGACGUUACCUGCAGAAUAAGCACCGGCUAACUCUGUGCCAGCAGCCGCGGUAAUACAGAGGGUGCGAGCGUUAAUCGGAAUUACUGGGCGUAAAGCGAGUGUAGGUGGCUCAUUAAGUCACAUGUGAAAUCCC